GGAAGCUUGGAGUUUAUAAGAGGUGGGGUUUGUCUGAAGAACAUAUUCUUGCUGCUUUUAGGGGCCAUCCAUCAUUUAUGGCAUUAUCAGAGGAAAAGAUUAUGUUGGGAAUGGAUUUCUUUGUUAACAAAUUAGGCUGGGAAGCUGCAGCCGUUGUCAAGAACCCUGUGUUGCUUUCAUUUAGUUUAAAAAAUAGAACAAUUCCAAG
rnacentral:misc_RNA from 1 species